rnacentral:rRNA from 1 species
CGGCAAGCCUGAUCCAGCAACGCGCGUGGAGGACGAAGGUCUUCGGAUCGUAAACUCCUGUCAGGAGGGACGAAGGUUUCCGGGCGAACAGUCCGGAAGCUUGACGGUACUGCCAGAGGAAGCCCCGGCUAACUCCGUGCCAGCAGCCGCGGUAAUACGGAGGGGGCUAGCGUUAUUCGGAAUUAUUGGGCGUAAAGGGCGCGUAGGCGGCCCGGUAAGUCAAAGGUGAAAUCCCUCGGCUCAACUGAGGAACUGCCUUUGAAACUGUCGGGCUUGAGGCCGGGAGGGGGUAGCGGAAUUCCCAGUGUAGCGGUGAAAUGCGUAGAUAUUGGGAGGAACACCGGUGGCGAAGGCGGCUACCUGGACCGGUUCUGACGCUGAUGCGCGAAAGCGUGGGUAGCAAACAGGAUUAGAUACCCUGGUAGUCCACGCUGUAAACGAUGAGUGCUCGGUGUCGCGGGUAUCGACCCCUGCGGUGCCUUAGCUAACGCGUUAAGCACUCCGCCUGGGGAGUACGGUCGCAAGGCUG